AGGAUGAACGCUGGCGGCGUGCUUAACACAUGCAAGUCGAACGGUGAAGCCAAGCUUGCUUGGUGGAUCAGUGGCGAACGGGUGAGUAACACGUGAGCAACCUGCCCUGGACUCUGGGAUAAGCGCUGGAAACGGCGUCUAAUACUGGAUAUGAGCUCUCAUCGCAUGGUGGGGGUUGGAAAGAUUUUUCGGUCUGGGAUGGGCUCGCGGCCUAUCAGCUUGUUGGUGAGGUAAUGGCUCACCAAGGCGUCGACGGGUAGCCGGCCUGAGAGGGUGACCGGCCACACUGGGACUGAGACACGGCCCAGACUCCUACGGGAGGCAGCAGUGGGGAAUAUUGCACAAUGGGCGGAAGCCUGAUGCAGCAACGCCGCGUGAGGGAUGACGGCCUUCGGGUUGUAAACCUCUUUUAGCAGGGAAGAAGCGAGAGUGACGGUACCUGCAGAAAAAGCGCCGGCUAACUACGUGCCAGCAGCCGCGGUAAUACGUAGGGCGCAAGCGUUAUCCGGAAUUAUUGGGCGUAAAGAGCUCGUAGGCGGUUUGUCGCGUCUGCUGUGAAAUCCCGAGGCUCAACCUCGGGCCUGCAGUGGGUACGGGCAGACUAGAGUGCGGUAGGGGAGAUUGGAAUUCCUGGUGUAGCGGUGGAAUGCGCAGAUAUCAGGAGGAACACCGAUGGCGAAGGCAGAUCUCUGGGCCGUAACUGACGCUGAGGAGCGAAAGGGUGGGGAGCAAACAGGCUUAGAUACCCUGGUAGUCCACCCCG
rnacentral:rRNA from 1 species